AUUUGAAAGAUUGUUAAUACAAGCGCGCAAAUGUAAUUACAAUCAAAUUGACUAACAGUGGUGACUUCCCUUUAAUAAUUUUACACCAUUUGCUGUCAACGAAGGUGUUGUCAUCAGCUGUUGAAAAUGUGAAAUAUUCAUGUUGGUUUUACUAGUUCUGCGAUGUGUGUGCAAUUCCACAUCUGAGCACUGUAAGGUCUGGCAGCAAAAUAAAGAUAUAUUCAAAUGGAUCUUGUGCUGUGUCUCACAUCUGACAUCAUACUAGAAAAGGGUCAUGUAAACCUAACAAAAAGUCAUGCGAAUGGACAUCAAAAUGUUGACACAGAUCGGUAUUUGAGACUUAAAUAUUCAGGAUAUAACUUCAUAAAACUGGCGGAUAAACCAAACUGCGAAGGUGCUUUCGAAUGGC